CCUACGGGUGGCAGCAGUAGGGAAUAUUGGACAAUGGGUGCGAGCCUGAUCCAGCCAUGCCGCGUGCAGGAAGAAGGCGUUAUGCGUUGUAAACUGCUUUUGCCAGGGGAUAAAAUAACUGUGCGCAGUUGAUUGAAGGUACCUGGUGAAUAAGCCACGGCUAACUACGUGCCAGCAGCCGCGGUAAUACGUAGGUGGCACGCGUUGUCCGGGUUUAUUGGGUUUAAAGGCGGCGUAGUAGGCCCGGUAAGAAAUAUCUCAGGUUAGCUGGGAGGGUGCCAUUGAUACUGCGGGGCUUGAGUACAGAUGAGGUAGGCGGAAUUGACGGUGUAGCGGUGAAAUGCAUAGAGAUCGUCAAGAACACCGAUAGCGAAGGCAGCUUACCAAGCUGUAACUGACGCUGAGGCACGAAAGUGUGGGGAUCAAACAGGAUUAGAUACCCCGGUAGUC
rnacentral:rRNA from 1 species